rnacentral:rRNA from 1 species
UUGAACGCUGGCGGCAUGCCUUACGCAUGCAAGUCGAACGGUAGAGGGGCAACCCUUGAGAGUGGCGAACGGGUGAGUAAUAUAUCGGAACGUGCCCAGUCGUGGGGGAUAACGCAGCGAAAGCUGCGCUAAUACCGCAUACGAUCUAUGGAUGAAAGCGGGGGAUCGCAAGACCUCGCGCGAUUGGAGCGGCCGAUAUCAGAUUAGGUAGUUGGUGGGGUAAAAGCCCACCAAGCCGACGAUCUGUAGCUG